rnacentral:tRNA from 1 species
GCCCCUGUGGCGGAACUGGUAGACGCGCGCGACUCAAAAUCGCGUGGCCAUCGGCCGUGCAGGUUCGAGUCCUGCCAGGGGCACCA